CUGGUCUUUGUCAGCAAAGUUUCUAAACGUUUUGAUGUGAUUUGAGAAACCAAUAAAGGGACUAAUGUUCACCAAAUGAGGAGCUCUGGGCUGGUUUUCUGUUUGCGGAUACUGAGCUGAAAAACAAUCUUCCGUUCUAGUUUCAGGAAGAGAAGAAAUAAUAUAGGUGCUUUAUCAAAGUUGUAACAUUUAGGUAAUCUACAUACAGGUAGUAUACAAAAUACUAC